rnacentral:rRNA from 1 species
UACGGGAGGCAGCAGUGGGGAAUAUUGCACAAUGGGCGAAAGCCUGAUGCAGCUAUGCCGCGUGUAUGAAGAAGGCCUUAGGGUUGUAAAGUACUUUCAUCGGGGAGGAAAAAACAAAACUAAUAAUUUUAUUUCUUGACGUUACCCGAAAAAGAAGCACCGGCUAACUCCGUGCCAGCAGCCGCGGUAAUACGGAGGGUGCUAGCGUUAAUCAGAAUUACUGGGCGUAAAGAGCACGUAGGUGGUUUUUUUAAGUCAGAUGUGAAAUCCCUGGGCUUAACCUAGGAACUGCAUUUUGAAACUGAAAUACUAGAGUAUCGUAAGAGGGAGGUAGAAUUCUAGGUGUAGCGGUGAAAUGCGUAGAUAUCUGGAGGAAUACCUGUGGCGAAAGCGGCCUCCUAAACGAAUACUGACACUGAGGUGCGAAAGCGUGGGGAGCAAACAGGGAUUAGAUACC